CCUAGGUAGCUUAUUAGAGCAUUACAUUGAAGCUGUAAAGGAGACAAUUCUGUCUCUGGGUG
rnacentral:tRNA from 1 species